rnacentral:rRNA from 1 species
AUUGAACGCUGGCGGCAGGCCUAACACAUGCAAGUCGAGCGAGCGGCGGACGGGUGAGUAAUGUCUGGGAAACUGCCUGAUGGAGGGGGAUAACUACUGGAAACGGUAGCUAAUACCGCAUACCAUCAGAUGUGCCCAGAUGGGAUGAGCUAGUAGGUGGGGUAAUGGCUCACCUAGGCGACGAUCCCUAGCUGGUCUGAGAGGAUGACCAGCCACACUGGAACUGAGACACGGUUCAGGCUCGUACGGAGGGCAGCAGUGGGGAAUAGGGCACAAUGGGGGCAAGCCUGAUGAAGCCAGGCCGCGGGUAUGAAGAAGGCCUUCGGGUUGUAAAGCACUUUCAGCGGGGAGGCGUUACCCGCAGAAGAAGCACCGGCUAACUCCGUGCCAGCAGCCGCGGUAAUAC